rnacentral:rRNA from 1 species
AUUGAACGCUGGCGGCAGGCCUAACACAUGCAAGUCGAGCGAGCGUCGGACGGGUGAGUAAUGUAUGGGGACUGCCUGAUAGAGGGGGAUAACUACUGGAAACGGUGGCUAAUACCGCAUACUAUCGGAUAACCCAUAUUGGAUUAGCUAGUAGGUGGGGUAAAGGCUCACCUAGGCGACGAUCACUAGCUGGUCUGAGAGGAUGAUCAGCAAGACGGGGACUUGGACACGGCCCAGACUCCGACGGAGGCAGCAGUGGGGAAUAUUGCACAAGGGGCGCAAGCCUGAUGCAGACAUGCCGCGGGUAUGAAGAAGGCCUUAGGGUUGUAAAGUACGUUCAGCGGGGAGGCGUUACCCACAGAAGAAGCACCGGCUAACUCCGUGCCAGCAGCCGCGGUAAUUC